GAUAGAAGAGCUCUGACUGUUACCAUACGCUAUACAUGUGCUCAAAGAAAACACUGCCGAUAGGAGAGGACUGAGGCAGGCGUUGACAGGCAGAGAGUAACUGGAACAGUGACUACAUCCAUCCCACCCUGUUCUCUCCGGAGGUCCAGCCCACGAUGAGGACACGGUCGGUCAGUCGUACCCCAUCUCAGCUGCGCUCCGAUGCCUUUAGCUGAACUCCGGUGACUUUAGCUGGAGGAUAUGAUUAAAAGAGGUCUCUGAUGUUGCUUGGGUAGUGGAUGACGCCAUUUCUACACUGUCAUGUACUGAAGAGGCACGGAAAUUUUUUUCUCAGGUGGUUGAAACAUGUAGAACUGAUCUGAAGGAGGUUGCCUCUGAACUGGUAGCAUAGCCAUGUCAUCAGAUCCAGGCUGAAAAGUCCACCCUUCCCACGCUGAGCCCCUUCAGAGACCUUCCCUCCCCAGGGGGCACAUGUUGUUCUGCCUGUGCAGAGCAUUUCCACAGCUGGGACCUCACCUUAAACUGACACUACAAGACUGUCAUCAAUAUUUUGCUGGUUUUAAUUUUAUUGCCUUUCCUCCCACUGGUUCCACUUUUCUAUUUAUUUUCCCUGUGCCUGAGUGCUUGCAUUUAUGAAGAUCAAAGCCAUGGAAAAGUGAAGUGAGAAGCUUUCCCACCUGAAUUUCCUCAAAAGAAAAUCCUUACUCUUGAGGUGCCAGAGAAGAAACUUGCUUGGUGGCAGUGUGCCUGGUACCAAAGAGGGACACAAAGGCCACAUCUGUACGAGUGCAAUGUCCGGCCACUGGUGCUCCGUUGUCAGUAUGCUCAUCUUGGUGGGACAGUCCUAGGCACAAAUUUGGCCCUAGCUCUGCCCAAGCCAUUCCCAGGGAGGAUUCAAGACAUAACCCAACACAAGGUCCAUCCCUAGCCACAAAUUGGAUGCACCCACCCCUUUAAAGGGUAAAAGUGUAAUAGCAUGGAUGUGGCCUUAGCACACCAAGCAACCUCAAGGUCGGAGAAAAGGCAAAGAAGACUCUUAUAAGACAAAACUGA